CCACAUCAUGUUGAAAUAUUGGUUCCCAUAUGAUCACCAAAGUUAAACAAUGUCGAGCCUGGUCCUUACCUAGAUGGGUGAUCACUUGGGAAUAUCAGGUGCUGUAAG